rnacentral:rRNA from 1 species
GCUGCAAGUCGAACGAAUCUCGCCCCGGUAGCAAUACCGGGGCGGGGGAAGUGGCGAAAGGGGCAGUAAGGCGUGGGUAACCUACCCCGGGGAUGGGCAUAGCCGUCCUAACGGACGGGUAAUUCCCAGCGAGCCGCCGGAGGGGCAUCCCCCCGGCGGGAAACGAGUUUCGCCUCGGGAGGGACUCACGUGCUAUUAGCUGGUUGGCGGGGUAACGGCCCACCAAGGCAAAGAUGGCUAGCGGGUGUGAGAGCACGACCCGCGCCACUGGCACUGAGACACUGGCCAGACACCUACGGGUGGCUGCAGUCGAGGAUCUUCGUCAAUGGGCGCAAGCCUGAACGAGCGACGCCGCGUGGGCGAUGAAGGCCUUCGGGUUGUAAAGCCCUGUCGAGGGGGACCAAGCCGGGGAAACCCGGUUGAUCGAUCCCUGGAGGAAGCACGGGCUAAGUUCGUGCCAGCAGCCGCGGUAAGACGAACCGUGCGAACGUUGUUCGGAAUCACUGGGCUUAAAGGGCGCGUAGGCGGCUCGCGAGGUCGGGGGUGAAAGACCGCGGCUCAACCGCGGCAGGGCCUCCGAUACCGGCGGGCUGGAGAGGGUAGGGGUGCGCGGAACUUCUGGUGGAGCGGUGAAAUGCGUUGAUAUCAAAGAACGCCGGCGGCGAAAGCGGCGCACUGGACCCUUGCUGACGCUGAGCGCGAAAGCCAGGGGAGCAAACGGGAUUAAUACCCCGGUAGUCCUGGCCCUAAACGAUGGGUACUAGGCCGUGGGCCGGUCUGGGCUCACAGCCAACCAAAGUGUAAUACCCCGCCGGGGAGUAUGGUCGCAGGCUGAAAUC